UACGGAGGGUGCGAGCGUUGUCCGGAAUCACUGGGCGUAAAGGGCGCGUAGGCGGCAUGCCAAGCGUGUGGUGAAAGCCCGGGGCUCAACCCCGGGUCGGCCGUGCGGACUGGCGUGCUCGAGCACUGUAGGGGCGGGUGGAAUUCCGGGUGUAGCGGUGGAAUUCGUAGAUAUCGAGAGGAACACCUGUGGCGAAGGCGGCCUUCUGGACGACAACUGACGCUGAGACGCGAAAGCGUGGGGAGCAAACAGG
rnacentral:rRNA from 1 species